rnacentral:rRNA from 1 species
CGAAUGCUGACAUAAGUAACGAUAAAGCGGGUGAAAAGCCCGCUCGCCGGAAGACCAAGGGUUCCUGUCCAACGUUAAUCGGGGCAGGGUGAGUCGACCCCUAAGGCGAGGCCGAAAGGCGUAGUCGAUGGGAAACAGGUUAAUAUUCCUGUACUUGGUGUUACUGCGAAGGGGGGACGGAGAAGGCUAUGUUGGCCGGGCGACGGUUGUCCCGGUUUAAGCGUGUAGGCUGGUUUUCCAGGCAAAUCCGGAAAAUCAAGGCUGAGGCGUGAUGACGAGGCACUACGGUGCUGAAGCAACAAAUGCCCUGCUUCCAGGAAAAGCCUCUAAGCAUCAGGUAACAUCAAAUCGUACCCCAAACCGACACAGGUGGUCAGGUAGAGAAUACCAAGGCGCUUGAGAGAACUCGGGUGAAGGAACUAGGCAAAAUGGUGCCGUAACUUCGGGAGAAGGCACGCUGAUAUGUAGGUGAAGCGACUUGCUCGUGGAGCUGAAAUCAGUCGAAGAUACCAGCUGGCUGCAACUGUUUAUUAAAAACACAGCACUGUGCAAACACGAAAGUGGACGUAUACGGUGUGACGCCUGCCCGGUGCCGGAAGGUUAAUUGAUGGGGUUAGCGGUAACGCGAAGCUCUUGAUCGAAGCCCCGGUAAACGGCGGCCGUAACUAUAACGGUCCUAAGGUAGCGAAAUUCCUUGUCGGGUAAGUUCCGACCUGCACGAAUGGCGUAAUGAUGGCCAGGCUGUCUCCACCCGAGACUCAGUGAAAUUGAACUCGCUGUGAAGAUGCAGUGUACCCGCGGCAAGACGGAAAGACCCCGUGAACCUUUACUAUAGCUUGACACUGAACAUUGAGCCUUGAUGUGUAGGAUAGGUGGGAGGCUUUGAAGUGUGGACGCCAGUCUGCAUGGAGCCGACCUUGAAAUACCACCCUUUAAUGUUUGAUGUUCUAACGUUGACCCGUAAUCCGGGUUGCGGACAGUGUCUGGUGGGUAGUUUGACUGGGGCGGUCUCCUCCUAAAGAGUAACGGAGGAGCACGAAGGUUGGCUAAUCCUGGUCGGACAUCAGGAGGUUAGUGCAAUGGCAUAAGCCAGCUUGACUGCGAGCGUGACGGCGCGAGCAGGUGCGAAAGCAGGUCAUAGUGAUCCGGUGGUUCUGAAUGGAAGGGCCAUCGCUCAACGGAUAAAAGGUACUCCGGGGAUAACAGGCUGAUACCGCCCAAGAGUUCAUAUCGACGGCGGUGUUUGGCACCUCGAUGUCGGCUCAUCACAUCCUGGGGCUGAAGUAGGUCCCAAGGGUAUGGCUGUUCGCCAUUUAAAGUGGUACGCGAGCUGGGUUUAGAACGUCGUGAGACAGUUCGGUCCCUAUCUGCCGUGGGCGCUGGAGAACUGAGGGGGGCUGCUCCUAGUACGAGAGGACCGGAGUGGACGCAUCACUGGUGUUCGGGUUGUCAUGCCAAUGGCACUGCCCGGUAGCUAAAUGCGGAAGAGAUAAGUGCUGAAAGCAUCUAAGCACGAAACUUGCC